AUUAUUCUUUGCGGGGUUGAGUCUGUCAUGUUGACUAUGACCUCCGGAGCUCUCGUCUAGAGUUGGCGAGUUGAAGAGUGCAAACGGCUCGAUGAGCAACCAGCUGAAGACGUCUAGAAUAAGGCCGGUGAAAAACAAAAGUGCCGCGCCGAUUCAGAUAACGGUCGAGCAGAUUCUUCGCGAUGCUUUCGAGCAGCGAGAGACACUGGUGAAGCCGCCAGAAUGGGAAAUUCGAGACAGUGAGGAGUUGUAUGAGUACCGGUUGAGAAAGCGGAAGGACUUCGAGGACUGGAUUAGCUUCGGUAGACAGAACAUCGCGACGUACAUGCGCUAUGCAAAAUGGGAGGAACAACAGAACGACUUGGUUAGAGCGCGGAGCGUGUACGAGCGUGCAUUAGAGAUGACGGUUCGCGAGCCGGUGGUCUGGGUUGCGUAUGCCGAGAUGGAGAUGCGUCAUAAGAACGUCAAUUUGGCGAGGAACGUGUGGGACAGAGCGGUCACGCUGAUGCCGAACGUGUCGCAAUUUUGGUACAAAUACAUUCAUAUGGAGGAAAUGCUCAAGAAUUACGCCGGCGUUAGGCAGCUUUACGAGCGGUGGAUGCAAUGGGUUCCAGAGGAGAAGGCCUGGUACGCGUACUUGCGCUGGGAGAUUCGAAAUCGCGAACACGAGCGCGUGAGGGACAUUUUUCACCGCUUGGUGCGAGUACACCCUUCCACGCGCUCGUUUAUCAAGUGGGCCAAAUACGAGGAGUCCGUGAACGACCUGGAGAGAGCCAGAGCGGUUUAUACGACGGCGUUCGAAGUUCUGUCGGGAGACGUGGAGCAGGGCGUGGAGCUGAGUGCUCAGGAAUGCGAGUUUCAAGAAAAACUAUUUGUGAGUUUUGCUCAGUUCGAAGAGCGAUGUCGCCAAUACGACCGAGCGAGGGCGAUUUACAAGUACGGGUUGGACAACUUGCCCAAGUCCUCGGCGAGAGAAGUUUAUAAGUCAUUCGUCACGUUCGAAAAAAAGUUCGGAAAUCGAGACACAAUCGAAGACGUCAUUUUCAACAAGCGAAGAUUUCGCUUCGAAGAGGAAGUCAAAGCCAAUCCUCAUGGGUACGAUAUUUGGUUCGACUAUUUGAAACUAGAAGAAUCGACCAAGAACCCCGCUCGGGUCAGAGAAAUUUACGAGCGCGCGAUUGCAAAUGUACCGCCUGUUCCCAUAAAGCAAUAUUGGAGGCGCUACAUUUUUUUGUGGAUCAAUUAUGCCAUCUACGAAGAACUUGAGGCAAAGGACAUCGAGCGCGCUCGACAGGUUUACAAGACCUGCCUGAACUUGAUCCCCCACCGCCAGUUUUCGUUCAGCAAAAUUUGGAUUAUGUUUGCGCACUUUGAACUGCGACAGAACGACCUUGAGGCUACGAGAAAAAUUAUGGGACAGGCUAUUGGAAAGGCUCCAAAAAAAAGAGUGUUCGAAGCCUACAUUCAGUUCGAGCAGGCCUUGGUCAACUUCGACCGAUGCAGGACCAUUUACACCAAAUGGAUAGAACACAGUCCGGAGAGCUGCCGUGCCUGGAUUGCCUUUUGCGAGUUUGAAAUCAGUCUCGGAGAGCACGAACGCGCGAUUGCCCUGUUCGAGCUGGCCAUCGACCAGCCCAUUUUGGACUUGCCUGAGCUUCUCUGGAAGGCCUACAUUGACUUCGAGAUUUCUCAGAAGCGCUACAAGCAGACGACGUCGUUGUACGAGCGACUUUUGCAGAGAACGCAGCAUGUCAAAGUUUGGCACUCUUUUGCACAGUUCAAGAGGAGCAUUGGGUCCAUUGGGGAUGCGCGAGAGAUUUACAAAAGGGGUUUUAAUUGUCUCAAGAGCGACGAGGCCAAGGACCAGAGAAUCACGCUCAUCGAGGCUUGGAGGGAUUUCGAGCAGGAAUUUGGCGACGAAAACACCCUUCGAGAAGUUGUAAACGAAAUGCCUCGACGCGUCAAAAAGAGGAGGCAAAUUCUCACGGAGGACGGCCAAGAAGCCGGGUGGGAGGAAUACUACGAUUACAUAUUCCCGGACCGCGAGGAGACGAAGCACAAGCUGAAGCUCUUGGAAGCAGCUAGGAAGUGGAAAGAGGAGCAGAGCAAAAGUGGUGAAAAAAAAUAAACAAGUGAAUAAAUAGUGAGGGGGAGCAUGCAAAAAGGGGGGAGUAUUCAAGGUUUGAGGAGAACGCGGUUCGCCGCCAUCAACAAAAAUCUGUUUUACGGAUUGAAAAAAGAUAUGAGUAAAAAAAAAAAAAAGUA